rnacentral:rRNA from 1 species
UGAACGUUCAGGGGUAAACCUGAGAAACCCGAAAGGUCGAAAGGGGAAAUUCAGUCUCGUUUCGGUCGUCGGCGAUUAGCGGUCGAGUGACGGACGGCGUGUGUUUACACGUGCCGUUCGCUCCUUCCGUUUCUCGAACCGAUAUCGAACGGGUGCACUUUUCCCCUAGUAGGACGUCGCGAUCCGUUGGGUGUCGGUCUAAGGCUCGCGGUGGAGCCCACGAGGACGUUUCGGCGUUCCGCGUGGACCCGCGGUGUCCCGGCCGACUCGCUCGACGGUAUAAAGAUGGCGCGGGGCCGCUACUUCAUAGUUAGCGUUCGGCCUGCGGCAAGCACGUCCGUUGUUCGACGGAGAUCGGACCUGGUGCCGGUCCUGUCCGCGGGCGACUGUUGGCUGCGGUGUUCUCGAACAGACCUCGUUGAAACGCCGAUCUGCGACGCUCUAGCUUUGGGUACUUUCAGGACCCGUCUUGAA